GAAAUGCGAUAAGUAAUGUGAAUUGCAGAAUUCAGUGAAUCAUCGAAUCUUUGAACGCACCUUGUGCUCCUUGGUAUUCCUUGGAGCAUGCCUGUUUGAGUAUCAUGAAAUCUUCAAAGUAAAUCUUUUGUUAACUCAAUUGGUUUCUACUUUGGUAUUGGAGGUCUUUGCAGCUUCACACCUGCUCCUCUUUGUUCAUUAGCUGGAUCUCAGUGUUAUGCUUGGUUCCACUCGGCGUGAUAAGUUAUCUAUCGCUGAGGACACUGUGAAAGGUGGUCAAGGUAAAUGCAGAUGAACCGCUUCUAAUAGUCCAUUGACUUGGACAAUACUUUUAUGAUCUGAUCUCAAAUCAGGUAGGACUACCCGCUGAACUUAAGC
rnacentral:misc_RNA from 1 species